AUUGUUUGAUCCUGGCUCAGCACACCAGCAGCCGCGGUAAUAGAGUUUGAUCCUGGCUCAGCACACCAGCAGCCGCGGUAAUAGAGUUUGAUCCUGGCUCAGGUGCCAGCAGCCGCGGUAAUAGAGUUUGAUCCUGGCUCAGAAUGAACGUUGGCGGCGUGGAUUAGGCAUGCAAGUCGAGCGGGCGUAGCAAUACGCCAGCGGCGGAAGGGUGAGUAAGGCGACGGCAACCAACCCCGAGAAUGGGUAUAGCCGCGGGAAACUGCGGGUAAUCCCCAGCGAUGCGAGGGCGUCGGCAUCGACGCUUCGCCAAAGGAUUCGUCCGUCUCGGGACGGGCCGUCGUGGUAUUAGGUAGUUGGCGGGGUAACGGCCCACCAAGCCAUCGAUGCCUACCGGGCGUGCGAGCGCGGCCCGGCACACUGGGACUGAGACACUGCCCAGACUCCUACGGGAGGCUGCAGUCGAGAAUCUUCGGCAAUGGGCGCAAGCCUGACCGAGCGACGCCGCGUGGAGGACGAAGGCCUUCGGGUUGUAAACUCCUGUCGAGGGGGAGAAAGGCUCCGCGAGGGGCUUGAUCGAUCCCUGGAGGAAGCACGGGCUAAGUUCGUGCCAGCAGCCGCGGUAAUAAU
rnacentral:rRNA from 1 species